ACAUACAUGCCAACGGUGGCGCCAUAGAAUUAACGUACAACGUGCAACAAGGAAUAGGCUGUUGUUCUCCGUCUUGUAGUUUGAAAACUUAGAAAUUGUUCCUUGUUUGAGCCAGUUUUAGGUGUGGGUCUCCAGGGUUAAUGUUACUUCACACAGCUUGGUCUUGGACGACUGAACUCGAUCACCGAGAACGAAAGCCAUUUUUCUAAUCAACAAGCUUCAAAGUACUACUGUUACUGCGACCUCGAGACACAGAAAUGGAUGGCAAAGGUGGCAAGAGUGCUAGUCGUGAGGCGCCGAAGGGUCAACAGGGGGGAGCUGCAGAAGCGGCUCGGGGAAGAGGAAGUGCAGCCAGAAGCCGCCAUGUCGAACGCCACGUUA